CCCUUAGAUGUUCUGGGCUGCACGCGCGCUACACUGAUGCACUCAACGAGUUUACGACCUUGCCCGAUAGGGUUGGGUAAUCUUUUUAAAAUGCAUCGUGAUGGGGAUAGAUUAUUGCAAUUAUUAAUCUUCAACGAGGAAUUCCUAGUAAGCGCGAGUCAUCAGCUCGUGCUGAUUACGUCCCUGCCCUUUGUACACACCGCCCGUCGCUCCUACCGAUUGAGUGGUCCGGUGAGGCUUUGGGAUCUGAGCGGAAAGAGCGUUUCGCUGUUUCUGCUCGGAAAACUCAGUCGAACCUUAUCAUUUAGAGGAAGGAGAAGUCGUGACA
rnacentral:rRNA from 1 species